rnacentral:piRNA from 1 species
UAGGAGGUACAACAUGCGGGCUCUCCGCUU